GAUGAACGCUAGCGGCAGGCUUAAUACAUGCAAGUCGAGGGACAGCACAGGUAGCAAUACUGGGUGGUAACCGGCAAACGGGUGCGGAACACGUACACAACCUUCCUUUAAGUGGGGGAUAGCCCAGAGAAAUUUGGAUUAAUACCCCGUAAUAUAGUUGAAUGGCAUCAUUUGAUUAUUAUAGCUACGGCGCUUAAUGAUGGGUGUGCGGCUGAUUAGAUAGUUGGCGGGAUAACGGCCCACCAAGUCUACGAUCAGUAGCUGAUGUGAGAGCAUGAUCAGCCACACGGGAACUGAGACACGGGCCCGACUCCGACGGGAGGCAGCAGUAAGGAAUAUUGGUCAAUGGACGCAAGUCUGAACCAGCCAUGCCGCGUGAAGGAUUAAGGUCCUCUGGAUUGUAAACUUCUUUUAUUUGGGACGAAAAAGGGCCUUUCUAGGUCAACUGACGGUACCAGAUGAAUAAGCACCGGCUAACUCCGUGCCAGCCGCCGCCGUAAUAC
rnacentral:rRNA from 1 species